AACCCCUUGAGAGUGGCGAACGGGUGAGUAAUAUAUCGGAACGUGCCCAGUCGUGGGGGAUAACGUAGCGAAAGUUACGCUAAUACCGCAUACGAUCUACGGAUGAAUGCGGGGGACUCGCAAGAGCCUCGCGCGAUUGGAGCGGCCGAUAUCAGAUUAGGUAGUUGGUGGGGUAAAGGCUCACCAAGCCAACGAUCUGUAGCUGGUCUGAGAGGACGACCAGCCACACUGGAACUGAGACACGGUCCAGACUCCUACGGGAGGCAGCAGUGGGGAAUUUUGGACAAUGGACGCAAGUCUGAUCCAGCCAUUCCGCGUGCAGGAUGAAGGCCCUCGGGUUGUAAACUGCUUUUGUACGGAACGAAAAGGUUUCUCUUAAUACGAGGAGCUCAUGACGGUACCGUAAGAAUAAGCACCGGCUAACUACGUGCCAGCAGCCGCGGUAAUACGUAGGGUGCAAGCGUUAAUCGGAAUUACUGGGCGUAAAGCGUGCGCAGGCGGUUAUAUAAGACAGAUGUGAAAUCCCCGGGCUCAACCUGGGAACUGCAUUUGUGGCUGUAUAGCUAGAGUACGGUAGAGGGGGAUGGAAUUCCGCGUGUAGCAGUGAAAUGCGUAGAUAUGCGGAGGAACACCGAUGGCGAAGGCAAUCCCCUGGACCUGUACUGACGCUCAUGCACGAAAGCGUGGGGAGCAAACAGGA
rnacentral:rRNA from 1 species